UUUUUUUUUGCUUUUUAGGGCCACCAUGGCAUAUGGAUAUCCCCAGGGUAGGGGUCUAAUCGGAGCUACAGUUUCUGGCCUACACCACAGCUCAUGGCAAUGCCAGAUCCUUAACCCACUGAGCAAGGGCAGGGAAUGAACCUGCAACCUCAUGGUUCCUGGUUGGAUUCAUUUCAGCUGCACCACGAUGGGAACUCCCAGGAUUCUAUUUUUAUAUAUUGUAAAUUGAAGAACUAUGAACAAUACUCAUGAAUACACUGGAGUUGAGGUUUGUUACAAACAUUUUCAUUGACAUUUCUGGCAAAGAUUCAUUUUUCUUAUAGUCUUACAUAGAAAAGAAAUUACUUAUAAAUUUUUAGUGGACCAAAUUAAUAUGCUUAUUCUACCAAAACCAUGUUAAAUGUAGAAAUAAAAAUCAAAACCAAUGUUUAAUGUGCUAUUUUCACCUCUUAAAAUAAAUCCUAUGGUCUUGUCAAAUAAGCCAUGUUGUAUCAUCUUUAAAAGCAACAUGGCAUGUAUUCUGAAAUGGAGGCAUUUAUUCUGAGCAGCUCAGAUCUGCCUUUGAUGUAGUUAUAAGCUAAAGGGCAUGUGAAGAUGAAAAAAUAAAAAGUUGUAACUUAGCCUUUAUAUCUUAGAGGCAAGGGAGAUUCAAACAGUAAAUUAUUUAUAGAAAUUAAAGAAGACACUUCAGGGCUCUUGUUGCUUAUUAAGAGUGGGUGAUUUUCAAACUUGGUUAAGUUAUAUUUCAACAGAUUAUUUCUUCAACUUAAACUAUUUCGCCAGGAUCAUGUGAGGGAAAAAACUUUAAAGCUCUUUGUUAUUAUUCUCCGGAGAAUAUAAUAGUAGUUCCUUAUUAGUAUUUUUUCCUUUAUAUCAUACUGAAGCAUUAACUUGUAAUUAUAUUAUCAUGAUAAAUUAUUAAGCAACCCAUACAGUGUAAGAUCUGUAAUGACCGUUUUUUUCUCAUACCCUUAUAAGGAAAUUUAUUGAAAGUUCAUAAAUGGAUGUUAAAAGUCUUGUUUACCAACAAUAUUUGUUUGUCUUGUAAUAUUAAAGGAAAAACCGAGGCAAUUUGAGAAUGAAUCUAGCAAAUAUAUUCAGAUUAGGCUGUUCCUUUUCAUCAGACAGCAAAUUUCAACAGCUCUGUAAAGACCCUGGAGGUGGGAGCUAUCUUCAGGGGUUGCCACUUCCAGCACUGCAGGGCAUGGGGAAUCCUGGAAGAGGGACAGCGUGGUAUAGCAAAACGCGUGAGACUCUUUUACACUUAGAAAAUGGGUGUCCUGGAGGCUCUGUUCCACAGAACAAAGGUGCUGGGCUUUAGCCCACCUGACUUUUAUUAAGGAAGGUGCCCCAGGUAGAUUUGUGCGCAGGAACAGUCUUAGGCAAUGACAAAACUACCUCUUAAUGAAUAACGAAGGAAACUAUUAGCACAGGUGCAUCCCUCUAAGGUACAGUGCAGACAUUUGUAGAAUAACAAGGUUUAUGCAGAACUCCCUUAUCUUGUCUUUAGAACUCUGGGUCAGCAGAUAAUUGCCUUCUUCAGAGUUCAGCUUUUCAGUGUGGUAGCCAACAAGGGGUGGUUAAUAAAAGUCUAACAACUGGCUCUCAGAAGAAGUUCUGAUUUGUUUUUUGGAUUUUUGUUUUGUUUGUUCUCUGGUUUCUGAAGUGAAAAUGUGUCAUGAUCAAUUUCAAACAACUCAUAUGACAUCACUGACCACCGAGUUGGAAAGAAAUGGGCAAUUAUCCAUCACAUCACAGUCCACAUGAGCCAGCUCCAAUGUAUCACCAUUUAUCUUCCAGCAGCUGUAAAUCUGUAAUGUCUAAAGGGAUUGGAUGUACCAUGCAUGGUUCCAAAGGAACAGGGCCUAUGAAGGGAGAAGUAAUGAAAGGCAGAUUUCUAACUCUAUGAGUAAAUUGUUUCAAGAGGAGCAGGGUUCAUCCUUUGGACGAUGGGAAUUUGUGUAUCAAUACUUCAGCACCUCGUCUUCCUUUCUGAGAUAACUCUAAGUCAUAGGAUCUCCACUGUCUGAUGUGUUCUCUCCAGCACGAUGUAGCUUUGGGUGUUCUCAAUAGUUAGGAUGCUUGGUAGCCAUCCUUUGUGGGUGGUUUUUCCUUCUCGGUCCUGGGAUUUUCACAUAAACAUCUUGCACUCAUAUCUUGAAUUAGUGGCUUCUAUGAAUGCUUCUGAAGCUAGUUCUCCUAGAGGGCUAGAGAAGAACAGAUAUUUCUACAUACUCUCUCCAUGACAUGGGCUUGCUUCAGCAUUUCAAUACAAUUUUUUAAACAUAGUUCAGUUGAGCUUUUAAUUUAUUUUAUGUUCUUAUACAUCAAAGUUUCUCAGCCUUGACGCUAAUUGAUAUGUGAUGCUGGCUGAUCCUUUUUUGUGGGAGACUCUCUUGUGCACUGUAAGAUUGCCUCCACCCACUAGAUGCCAGUAGCACAACCACUG
rnacentral:lncRNA from 1 species